UACGUAGGGUGCGAGCGUUAAUCGGAAUUACUGGGCGUAAAGCGUGCGCAGGCGGUUUUGUAAGCCAGAUGUGAAAUCCCCGGGCUCAACCUGGGAAAUGGCAUUUGGGACUGCCAAAGCUGGAGUGCGGCAGGAGGGGACUGGAAUUCCUGGUGUAGCAGUGAAAUGCGUAGAGAUCAGGAGGAAUACCGAUGGCGAAGGCAGG
rnacentral:rRNA from 1 species